rnacentral:lncRNA from 1 species
AGAGGGGAAGUGAAUGACCAACUGGGUAGGCUGAUGAAUAUUUUCCUGGUAAAUGCAUAACUUUCCCCACAACUGUGAUGCUUUAUCCUUUGACAUUAAGAAUGCUGUUUGCAGAAGUAACAUUCCUUUGAACACUCAGCUUUCUGAAAUGGUGUCCCACCGCAAGGACUGGAGAAGGGCACCCUUGGAAAUGCAAUGCUACAUCUCAAUGGGAUUUUCCAGUACAAAGAUUCUUUUCAAAUAACAUAAUUGUGGAUACACACCACUCCUACAGUGGUAAGUAUACUGAAGAUGUGCCAAAACAUUAGGGCAAAAAUUCAGUUCCCAUGGCAUACAAGCAGGAACCCAACCAUUUGCAGCAAUAAAUAAAAUUUUUGUAGACUACGAGAUUAUAAAGUAUGCAUUCUCUGUUAGAAUCAAAUUGCCUGUUUGUUUGUUUUGGAGUAAAACAACCUGAUAAAUGAAAGAAGAAAGAAAAGCAUAUAUGAAUGCAGAAUUUGCGAAUAUUUUUGUUUCAUAGCUGAAACUGGUAUAUUUUAUUGCUCUCAAAUAUGAAGCCAAUAGAUGAUAAGUGAUCAUAUAAAGAGAUAACAAUUCUUUACUUAAUAUUGGUUGAACUCUUACUUCCUUGACUUCCUGAGACUGUGUAAACAAAAUGAACAGGUAAGCAAAUUAAAAACAACAAUGAAAAAUCUUGCCAUCUAAGGUUCAACCAAAAUAGAGUUCAGGUAUAAAGAAUAGCAUAACAGAGGGAGGAAAAAAAUGAGCAUAAAUAAA